rnacentral:rRNA from 1 species
GAUGAACGCUGGCGGCGUGCCUAAUACAUGCAAGUCGAGCGAACGGACGAGAAGCUUGCUUCUCUGAUGUUAGCGGCGGACGGGUGAGUAACACGUGGAUAACCUACCUAUAAGACUGGGAUAACUUCGGGAAACCGGAGCUAAUACCGGAUGAUAUUUUGAACCGCAUGGUUCAAAAGUGAAAGACGGUCUUGCUGUCACUUAUAGAUGGAUCCGCGCUGCAUUAGCUAGUUGGUAAGGUAACGGCUUACCAAGGCAACGAUGCAUAGCCGACCUGAGAGGGGGAUCGCCCCCACGGGGGAGAGGACCCGGCCCACACCCCGAAGGGGGGCAGGGGUGGGAAAUUUUCGGGAAGGGGGGAAAGCGUGAGGGAGAAACGCCGGGAAAGUAAGAAAGUGCUUCGGAUCGUAAACCCUUUUUAUUGGGGAAGAACAAAUGUGUAAGUAAUGGUACAAUUCUGGACGGAACCAAAUAAGAAGGCCCGGCCAAACUAGGU